GGAAGAGUAUCGAAGAGGUCAUAACGGGGCGCACUCGAAAUGCGUUUGGCUUCACGGCCACGUGGGUUCGAAUCCCACCUCUUCCGCCA
rnacentral:tRNA from 1 species